rnacentral:rRNA from 1 species
GACGAACGCUGGCGGCGUGCUUAACACAUGCAAGUCGAACGCUGAAGGCCUGGCUUUUGUUGGGUUGGAUGAGUGGCGAACGGGUGAGUAACACGUGAGUAACCUGCCCUCUUAUUUGGGAUAACGCCCGGAAACGGGUGCUAAUACUGGUUUUUACUGCCCCUCGAAUGGGGGAUGGUGGAAAGGUUUGUUCUGGUAGGGGCUGGGCUCGCGGGCUAGGAGCUUGGUGGGGGGGUGUUGGCCGACCGAGGAAUGGACGGGUAGCCGGCCUGAGAGGGUGACCGGUAACAUUGGGACUGAGAGACGGCCCGGGCGCCGGCGGGGGGCAGCAGUGGGGCAUGUUGCACCAUGGGGGAAAGCCGGAUGCUGCGGCGCCGCGUGAGGGAUGGAGGCCGUCGGGUUGUAAACCUCUUUCGGUCAUGGUCAAGCCGCAACUGUGGGUUGUGGUGAGGGUAGUGGGUAAAGAAGCGCCGGCUAACUACGUG